UACGAAGGGGGCUAGCGUUGUUCGGAAUUACUGGGCGUAAAGCGUGCGCAGGCUGCCAUUUAAGUCAGGGGUGAAAGCCCAGAGCUCAACUCUGGAAUUGCCUUUGAAACUAUUUGGCUUGAGUGCGGGAGAGGUGAGUGGAAUUCCCAGUGUAGAGGUGAAAUUCGUAGAUAUUGGGAAGAACACCGGUGGCGAAGGCGGCUCACUGGCCCGUUUCUGACGCUCAUGCACGAUAGCGUGGGGAUCAAACAGG
rnacentral:rRNA from 1 species